rnacentral:rRNA from 1 species
GAUGAACGCUGGCGGCGUGCCUAAUACAUGCAAGUCGAGCGAACGGACGAGAAGCUUGCUUUUCUGAUGUUAGCGGCGGACGGGUGAGUAACACGUGGAUAACCUACCUAUAAGACUGGGAUAACUUCGGGAAACCGGAGCUAAUACCGGAUAAUAUUUUGAACCGCAUGGUUCAAAAGUGAAAGACGGUCUUGCUGUCACUUAUAGAUGGAUCCGCGCUGCAUUAGCUAGUUGGUAAGGUAACGGCUUACCAAGGCAACGAUGCAUAGCCGACCUGAGAGGGUGAUAGGCCACACUGGAACUGGGACACGGUCAAGACGCCUACGGGAGGCAGCAGUAGGGAAUCUUCCGCAAUGGGCGAAAGCCUGACGGAGCAACGCCGCGUGAGUGAUGAAGGUCUUCAGAGCGUAAAACUCUGUUAUUAGGGAAGAACAGAUGUGUAAGUAACUGUGCACAUCUUGACGGUACCUAAUCAGAAAGCCACGGCUAACUACGUG